rnacentral:rRNA from 1 species
AAAUUGAAGAGUUUGAUCAUGGCUCAGAUUGAACGCUGGCGGCAGGCCUAACACAUGCAAGUCGAACGGUAGCACAGAGAGCUUGCUCUCGGGUGACGAGUGGCGGACGGGUGAGUAAUGUCUGGGAAACUGCCUGAUGGAGGGGGAUAACUACUGGAAACGGUAGCUAAUACCGCAUAACGUCGCAAGACCAAAGAGGGGGACCUUCGGGCCUCUUGCCAUCAGAUGUGCCCAGAUGGGAUUAGCUAGUAGGUGGGGUAACGGCUCACCUAGGCGACGAUCCCUAGCUGGUCUGAGAGGAUGACCAGCCACACUGGAACUGAGACACGGUCCAGACUCCUACGGGAGGCAGCAGUGGGGAAUAUUGCACAAUGGGCGCAAGCCUGAUGCAGCCAUGCCGCGUGUAUGAAGAAGGCCUUCGGGUUGUAAAGUACUUUCAGCGGGGAGGAAGGUGUUGUGGUUAAUAACCGCAGCAAUUGACGUUACCCGCAGAAGAAGCACCGGCUAACUCCGUGCCAGCAGCCGCGGUAAUACGGAGGGUGCAAGCGUUAAUCGGAAUUACUGGGCGUAAAGCGCACGCAGGCGGUCUGUCAAGUCGGAUGUGAAAUCCCCGGGCUCAACCUGGGAACUGCAUUCGAAACUGGCAGGCUAGAGUCUUGUAGAGGGGGGUAGAAUUCCAGGUGUAGCGGUGAAAUGCGUAGAGAUCUGGAGGAAUACCGGUGGCGAAGGCGGCCCCCUGGACAAAGACUGACGCUCAGGUGCGAAAGCGUGGGGAGCAAACAGGAUUAGAUACCCUGGUAGUCCACGCCGUAAACGAUGUCGAUUUGGAGGUUGUGCCCUUGAGGCGUGGCUUCCGGAGCUAACGCGUUAAAUCGACCGCCUGGGGAGUACGGCCGCAAGGUUAAAACUCAAAUGAAUUGACGGGGGCCCGCACAAGCGGUGGAGCAUGUGGUUUAAUUCGAUGCAACGCGAAGAACCUUACCUGGUCUUGACAUCCACAGAACUUAGCAGAGAUGCUUUGGUGCCUUCGGGAACUGUGAGACAGGUGCUGCAUGGCUGUCGUCAGCUCGUGUUGUGAAAUGUUGGGUUAAGUCCCGCAACGAGCGCAACCCUUAUCCUUUGUUGCCAGCGGUUAGGCCGGGAACUCAAAGGAGACUGCCAGUGAUAAACUGGAGGAAGGUGGGGAUGACGUCAAGUCAUCAUGGCCCUUACGACCAGGGCUACACACGUGCUACAAUGGCGCAUACAAAGAGAAGCGACCUCGCGAGAGCAAGCGGACCUCAUAAAGUGCGUCGUAGUCCGGAUUGGAGUCUGCAACUCGACUCCAUGAAGUCGGAAUCGCUAGUAAUCGUAGAUCAGAAUGCUACGGUGAAUACGUUCCCGGGCCUUGUACACACCGCCCGUCACACCAUGGGAGUGGGUUGCAAAAGAAGUAGGUAGCUUAACCUUCGGGAGGGCGCUUACCACUUUGUGAUUCAUGACUGGGGUGAAGUCGUAACAAGGUAACCGUAGGGGAACCUGCGGUUGGAUCACCUCCUUACCUUAAAGAA